rnacentral:rRNA from 1 species
AUACGGAGGAUCCGAGCGUUAUCCGGAUUUAUUGGGUUUAAAGGGUGCGCAGGCGGCCAUUUAAGUCAGCGGUUAAAUCGUGGGGCUCAACCCCAUUCUGCCGUUGAUACUGGGUGGCUUGAUUGCGGUCGAGGUUGGCGGAAUUCGUUGUGUAGCGGUGAAAUGCAUAGAUAUGACGAAGAACACCGAUUGCGUAGGCAGCUGACCAGACCGCAAAUGACGCUCAUGCACGAAAGUGCGGGGAUCGAACAGGAUUAGAUACCCUGGUAGUCCGCUCAGUAAACGAUGAAUACUUGUUUUCGGCGAUAUAAUGUCGGAGGCAAAGCGAAAGCGAUAAGUAUUCCACCUGGGGAGUACGCCGGCAACGGUGAAACUCAAAGGAAUUGACGGGG